UUGAGUCUCUCCCAUGGGGUGGUGUUGGAGCAGCAGCCCCUCACCUCUCUGCCAGGCUUUGCCUCCAGCGAGCUGUGUGGGCAGCCUGUUGCUGCUGGAGCAAAACUUCUUCCAGAGCUUGUAAGGCUAGUUGCGUUUGUGUAUCAGUUGCUGUCCUGCCCCUGCUUUCCUCUAAUCUGGUUUUGGGAACUAGGUAGUAGCAGCUUCAUGUUAUUAUGAUGAAUAAUGACUUCAUUCUUUAAUCACACUGUCCUAUUACCAGCAUGGGAGGUGAGGAAAAACUGAACAUUAUGAUGACUUGUACUAACAAACAUAAAUGUCAGGCUUAUUUACAAAACAUGCCUCACGUGGAUGGUGUAUCCAUUGCUAAACUAUGUCUUUCACCAUCACACCCAAGUUGCUUAACUGAAAGAUGAGAAGAAUCACAAAGCAAAUGAUGUACUUGUUAUAGCUUAAAAUAUCAGGAAGAAAGACCUUUUUAUUUAAUUUUUGAGAGGCUAAUUUUAAUUUUGGAUAUGUUGCACAUGUGAAUUUACAAGGCCACAGGAACAUGCUCACUAGUUGUGGUUUGCCACGUCAUUGGAAAUGGUGGUGGUGUGCUGUAUGACGUGCUCCUGGGAUCUGAGUGGAGAGGGCGAAUAUUUAUGGUUUAAUUUAGAAAUGUUCCUCCCCUCUGUUGUUACUAGUCCCCCAUGUUUUCAAAGAAAAUUAUCUUCACUGGAAUUUGUUUUCAGCACCUGUGCCAUCGCAUAGCAAAAUGAACCUUAACUGACAAAGCUUCAUACAAUGGAUUAGUAUUGCUUCCCAAAAUUAAGCAUGCUCUCUAGCAUAUUAAUAUCGUAAAUUAUUUCUUUUCUAUAGCAGUGCUGAAAGUCUACAAAUGAUUUAAAUCACUGUGAUUUAAAUUGCCACUUUCAGAAGUCACUUAACAUCUGUGAAGUCUUUUAUUUAAAAAGAUGGGCAAAAAGGUAUUAAAUAAAUAUGAAAAAAAUAUUUUAAAUAAAUAUUGUUUCUUCAACAGUUGUGGUCCAUUAAAACAAUUGAUUGUAGUUAUGUAUAGGCAUUGUAUUUAGUCUGGCACAUUUCUUGCUAACCAGGUAGAUAAGCAUAUGCAAUUAUUUAAUAUUUUGUGGAUGUUUUACAAAUUCCUGUCUUGGUACGGUUACAUGGGCGGUUUAACGAUGAUAUCUUACAGUUGCCAUUCAGCCGAAGGCGUAAGAUGGAAAUGUAGAAUGCUCUAAUAUGGAGGUGGUUUUAAUUAAUGUAAAUGCACUGAAAUACAUAAAACUGAAUCCACCAUGUCUCCUAUUUCAGAUGACUGUGUCAUCUGUGGACUGAAGGGAUGAUUUUGGUAACUGAGCCCUCUAAGGCUUUAGAACUAGUAGCUGUCCUUGUGCCUGCUGUUGUUGUUGACUCGAACAGAAGGCAAACCAAGCUGCCGACCUUCAGGUCCUGGUCAGCUUUAUGCAUUUGGAAUGCAUUACCUUGAGACAGAGUGAAGAAAAUAAUCAUUUUGUACCUGCAUAAGAGGCUUCUCCCGUUAAAAUCCGCUUUUGAACUCAAGCAAACUCUGUUUGCAGAUGGUGACUUCUGUCUGCUCAAUAGUUUUAAAGAGAGUGAAUACUACUUACAGUUUUAGCUUAAGUUAUUUUAAUUAUUAUAGUAGGCUUUUCCUGAAAUAUCAUAGAGGAAAACACAUUUUAAAUAGGAUAAUUUUGUUAAAAGAAACCUUUGUUUUUACUGAUCUUACUUUUAAGCCAAAUUCUGCAGCAGGGCUAUGACAGGAGCUCAGGGCCUUCUGUGGUUAUACAUGGCUACAUGGAUCCCUCUUCUGUGAGUAGAUGUGCUAGACCAGAUUGAUGAAUGAGGAUCAGUUAGGUGCUCUAGGCCCUUUCUUUUUUGUGUGUUUUCAAACAGACCAUGUAAAGAGCAAUAUUUCUUCACAGCUUUGCCCUGCUGCUAAUUGCUACUAGUCAAUAUAUUCAUCUUCCUUAUCCCAGUUUCUCCAGCUAAUGUUAGUUCAUGCCAGUGUUUCUAAAGACAGUAACUCUCCACAACAUGGAACAUGUUGUUCCGCUGCACGCUGUGUCUGUGUUGAUGAGAGGCAGCCCAGCUGGUGCUUUGGCAGCUCUCGCUUUACCACAGGUACACGUCGUGGCCACUGAAGGUCUGGGCUUGGCGAGGGUGGUGUGCUAAGCUGCUGCUGGUUCCUGCCAGUUACCCUCUGUACGGGCAAGCAGUUGUCAGUACUUUAUAUGAGUACAGGAGGCUUGUUCGUCUUGGGGGAAGAGGGUGUCUGAGACCCUGAAGAUGUAACACAGCUGGCCUGUCUUUUGGCAAAUGGUGUCUCCAUUUGUUUUGUAGCAGAAGUCAAAGGAACUGUGAAACCAGAUUUUAAAAUAAAGCAAUUUUGGAAGCUAUGGCUGCCUUACACAGUUGUUCUGCAAUUGCACAUGUUGGUUUUGUAAGAACAAUUGCUUUGUCACAUGAGAUCAGCAUAAAAUGGGAACUUGAUGAGUGGAGAACAUCACAGAAGCUGUCAAUGAUGAGCAACUUCAUUGUCUCCGUUUGUUUUUAUUUAGGCAGAAAAGUGUGGUUUCUCUGGUAUGGAGAAACUGUUCCACACAUCAUGAUGUUUAGAAUAAUGUUGAAACUCUAAUAGAUUUUGGUAGAGAUGACUUCAAAAUUGUGAUGCAGUGUACUUGAGACUGAAGGUUUAACUCUUCCUCAUUUUGCUCAUUCCUCUGUCACUGGAGGAUGUAGAUGUGAUAGGGUGAUCGCUGACAGUAUGGGAAGGAUCAUUAGCAUUAUGGGUUGCUUCCACUGCUGGCUUCUAUGCCUGUUUAUCUGUUGCUGAGUUGCCAGAGCAAAGAUUUGGAUAGCCUGCUGUCCCAUCCUAGAGGCAGUAAGGAAUGAUUUGGAAAAGAGCUUUAGAGGAACAGAAUAUGUAGUAUGUUCUCCUCAUCAGCGGUUCAAGGACUUGUCCAACUGGAAAUUUUAUCUGUCUUCCAGAGAUUUUGUUUUGGAUGGAUGUGACUAGGAUGUGUGCUUUUUUUAUGAAGAAAGACCACGUAUUUUGGUCCUAAUGAAACUUUAAAUGUGGUUUUGAUUCAAAAUGAAGUGGCUAUAAACUGCUAUGCAAAUAUUUUGUGAAAAUAUAGUCACAUUUUUUGUGAAAUGAUGUACAAACAUAUACAGGAAGUCAAAAAUGUAUUUAAAGACACAUAUGAACUCAUAAGGGUUAAGAAAGGUGGAGACAAAAUGAAUAAACACAUGGAAUGCAGAGAUAGAGGAGAAGAGCGUUAGUAAUGUGGAGCUCACUUGAAGGUGUGGUAACGUGGGUUUAUUCCUAGAGGAGGGACCAUUUGAUGCAAUUCUGCAAAAGGGAUUGUAGUUUUUAUUUCUGGGUACUUACGUCUCGAGCUCCUUUUCCCCCUUUUACUGUUUUUAAUUCACUAAUGAUCACGUAUCAUUCACAGCUUAUAAGCUGUCCAGGAAAAUCACAUUCAUAAUGGAGUAGGUGACGCACACUUAGUUAGUGACACUGUGCAGGUCACUGUGAACCUGUUAAGAGUCUCUGAACGUUUAGAUUUAAUAAACCAUUCUCUAGAGAGUACAACACUACUAAAAAAUGUACCAUUCUCCAUAUCAAAGAGCUGUAGUAAAAGUAUUUAGUAACUCUUCAGUCUUCUAUGACCCUUUGCUUUAAGUAUGUUUUUUGCAUGCUUUCAUGACCACACCACUUAAAGUGAUUUUUUUUUUUUUUACUUAAAACAUCAAAGCUCAUUGAGUGAUGUUGUCUUACAAGAAAUCCUGUGUACUUUACAUACAAAUUUAAUCCUGACUUUUUUUUUUUAAUUGUGUGAUCUAGUCAUUGUGCAGUCGAACUUGUGACUGUGAUUCACUGUUAUUUUUUCCCCUUACAUGAAAUUUAAAGUUACCUGUAGUAAACAGGAUUUCCUUUUGAAUGCGAAUACAGGCAGUUUGUGUGAAUGGGUUCCCAGAUGCCUUGGGCUGCUGCAGCAGCUAGUGGUGGUGGUUCAGCAGGUGACCCUGGGCACUGUGAGUUCUGAAGUCGCUUGGUGGUUACACCAACCACGGGUCAGGCAUUCUUGGCUCAGUGAUCACAUAAUGAGUGGAGCUGGACAAACCAAAGCCAGCUAGAUUUAAAAGGACUUACCCAAAAUGUAAUCCAUGAGAAAUGUGUCAUGUAAUUAAAGGGCCUUAAUGCUUGUCUCAAAUUGAUUGUGUGGUUUCAAUUUCUUUUUCUAAUAUUAUUUUCUAAUGUUUUUCCUAAUUAUAAAUAAUAGCAUCAUUAAUAGACAAACACGUAACAAAGAUGACUUGUAUUUUACUAAUAGCUUAAGUGGGCUUCAUCCUAGAGAAACUUCUUAUGAGUUUUACUAAUUAUUUGGAGCACCUGGAUUUGAGAAGUAACUCACAUCCUUACUUACGCUGUCUUGUCAGCAGAGCCAUUGGAAGAAAUUCCUGAGUAGACCUUUAAGUCUUAUUUAAAUGGAAAAAAAAAAAUAACAGUCAUUAAAAAAUGAAAAGUAGAAA